rnacentral:rRNA from 1 species
CCAUUUUACCUUUAUGGUAAUAUGGGAUGCAGUGUAUGGAACAUCAAUAAUCUAGUAUGAGAAAUUAACGAUUUAAGUCCUUCUUAAAUGAGGCCAUUUACCCAUAGAGGGUGCCAGGCCCGUAUAACGUUAAUGAUUAUUAGAAGAUGUUUCCAAAGAGUCGUGUUGCUUGAUAGUGCAGCACUAAGUGGGUGGUAAACUCCAUCUAAAACUAAAUAUAACCAUGAGACCGAUAGUAAACAAGUACCGUGAGGGAAAGUUGAAAAGAACUCUGAAUAGAGAGUUAAAUAGUACGUGAAACUGCUUAGAGGUUAAACCCGAUGAACCUGAAUAUCCAUUAUGGAAAAUUCAAUAUUAAUAAAAUAGUGUGCAAUUUUUCCAUAUAAGGACAUUGUAAUCUGUUAAUGUAAUAAAUAUUUAUCAAAAGAUUCUUUACUUAAGUUUAUUUAAAUUCAACAUAAAAUAAAUGUAUUGAAUUAGAUAAAUCAUUGACAGAUAUAAUUAUAUAAUGUGCUUAAAUUCAUUUGAAUUUUACAAUAUUGUUUGCACUAUUAUGAUUAACAAUGCGAUAGAUUCAGGAUACCUUCGGGACCCGUCUUGAAACACGGACCAAGGAGUCUAACAUAUGUGCAAGUCAUUGGGUAUUUUUAAUAAAACCUAAUGGCAUAAUUAACUUAACUUUUGGGAUUAAUUUAUAUUUAUUCAAUCCCGGGGCGUUCUAUACAGUUAUGUAUAAUAAUAUUUAUAUUAUUUAUACCUCUAACUAGAGCGUACCUUGAGCAUAUAUGCUGUGACCCGAAAGAUGGUGAACUAUACUUGAUCAGGUUGAAGUCAGGGGAAACCCUGAUGGAAGACCGAAACAGUUCUGACGUGCAAAUCGAUUGUCAGAAUUGAGUAUAGGGGCGAAAGACUAAUCGAACCAU